AAUUUAAUUUUAAAGAGAGUUUCGUGCACGUUGGCCAAUGAGACCUUAAUGUGUUAUUUACCGUAAGGUGGUGAUGAGGUGCGGAUCCCGCCGAGUGUCCCGCACACUACUUAUGUACAAGACACUCAACGCGACCCACAUACCAACACCACUCGGUAAGUAAGACCCGGAAUACACACACAUAACGCUCUCACAACCCCCCACUCAUAACGGGUGAUGUGUAUGAGAGUGCCACGCCCAUGUGUUCCGGGUCCCUUGAUGUUGAUCUGUGUAUGGUUGUGUAUAGUAUGUGGUAUGUGAUUGUUGUGCAUUUGUCUGGAGCGGAAGAGGAGAUGUCUGUCGGUUAUUUACGGUCGUCGGUCAGUCGUGAAGGGCUGUAUAUCGUUGCAGUUCCCAGAUCGCAGAACACGCCGCCCCCGCACAAGCGCACCCACGCCGAGCGAGCCCGAGCCCCCCCCCCCCCCCCCGCGCCCGCAUACGGCCCCGGCCCUAGCACCCAACCGCUGAAGACCCUCGAGACAAGCACCCUCAUCCACCCUCUCGCUGCGCGCGACAACAGAUCAGUCAAGAACCAACCAUGGAGCCCCCCAAAGCCCCACCCGGAGUCACCAUCGUUCUUUCCCACCCACCUGCCAAACAUCCAGACCAUGUAUCAAGCUGGGAUAUUUCAGGGGCGAAUUGUCUUGGGGUGAGAUUUCUUUGGGGCGAGUUGUCUGAUUCCCAUUCCGAAUGGACUUUGAAAGAAACGAACGACAACUUUGUAAGAAAACCCGCCAAUGGGGCUCGCGACCAAUCGGAUGGAUGCUAUGCCUGCUGGGAUAGCCAUGCUCUUUUUCGACGCGGACAGUGGACCCGACAUGACCGACUUAACGGACUCGACGUGACGGACUCGACCUAAUCAAUUUUCUUUAUUCUUAGACUUAAGUCUAAGAAUUGUUUGGUGAAUACGGGCCUAGCAGAUUCUUUUGUGCACGAGAUGCGGUCAAAAAGAAGAAAAGACGAAAGAACCAAUCCAGACUUGGUGGCAGAGGAAAGUAUAAAAAAGAAUGCAGAUCUUGGUGGAUUUUGUGUGGAUACAAUUCCACCUAAAGGUAUUUCUUGUUGACAGAUAGCCUUGACCUUAAGUCAUUUAAAGAAGUUUAUUAAUUUCAAUUUCAGCUGGCACUAUAUGUAUUUGCCUGUAUAUGUUUAAAGAAAUAAAAAGGGCAAACAAACAAUUAAACCUGGGAUACAGCCUUAGCCUCUCAAAAGGGGAAAAAUACCAUGUGACCAGCACUUUUGGGGAGAAAUUGCAAUAAAUCGUCAUAAACUAAAGGUUAAUUACAUGUUAUAACCAUUAUUUGCUCCAUUUAAAAGCUGAAUCUUUUUAUAUGGCUUUCCCCUACCACAAGUGAUUGGGGCUAAAUGUAUACUGGAAUCACUGUGUCUGUCUGUCCCACAUGGGUUUAUGAAUGGAAU